rnacentral:rRNA from 1 species
UACGGGGGGGGUAAGCGUUGUUCGGAAUUACUGGGCGUAAAGGGCUCGUAGGCGGCCAACUAAGUCAGACGUGAAAUCCCUCAGCUUAACUGGGGAACUGCGUCUGAUACUGGAUGGCUUGGAUCCGGGAGAGGGAUGCGGAAUUCCAGGUGUAGCGGUGAAAUGCGUAGAUAUCAGGAAGAACACCCGUGGCGAAGGCGGUUCUCUGGAACGCAACUGACGCUGAGACGCGAAAGCGUGGGGAGCAAACAGG